rnacentral:rRNA from 1 species
CACGUAGGGCGCAAGCGUUGUCCGGAAUUAUUGGGCGUAAAGAGCUCGUAGGCGGUCUGUUGCGUCCGCUGUGAAAACUCGGGGCUUAACCCCGAGCCUGCAGUGGAUACGGGCAGACUAGAGGUAGGUAGGGGAGAAUGGAAUUCCCGGUGUAGCGGUGAAAUGCGCAGAUAUCGGGAGGAACACCGGUGGCGAAGGCGGUUCUCUGGGCCUUACCUGACGCUGAGG